rnacentral:rRNA from 1 species
AGCGGUGGAGCAUGUGGUUUAAUUCGAAGCAACGCGAAGAACCUUACCAGGUCUUGACAUCCUUUGACCACUCUAGAGAUAGAGCUUCCCCUUCGGGGGCAAAGUGACAGGUGGUGCAUGGUUGUCGUCAGCUCGUGUCGUGAGAUGUUGGGUUAAGUCCCGCAACGAGCGCAACCCUUAUUGUUAGUUGCCAUCAUUNAGUUGGGCACUCUAGCAAGACUGCCGGUGACAAACCGGAGGAAGGUGGGGAUGACGUCAAAUCAUCAUGCCCCUUAUGACCUGGGCUACACACGUGCUACAAUGGGAAGUACAACGAGUUGCGAAGUCGCGAG